rnacentral:rRNA from 1 species
GCGAAAACUUUACAAUGCGGGAAACCGUGAUAAGGGAACUCCGAGUGCCCGUAAAAUCGGGCUGUCCAUCUGUUUAAAUAACAGGUGAAGAAAGGGCCGGGCAAGACCGGUGCCAGCCGCCGCGGUAAUACCGGCGGCUCGAGUGGUGGCCACUAUUACUGGGCUUAAAGCGUCCGUAGCUGGUCUGUUAAGUCUCUGGGGAAAUCUUCCGGCUUAACCGGAAGGCGUCUCAGGGAUACUGGCAGACUAGGGACCGGGAGAGGUGAGAGAUACUCCAGGGGUAGGAGUGAAAUCCUGUAAUCCUUGGGGGACCACCUGUGGCGAAGGCAUCUCACCAGAACGGCUCCGACAGUGAGGGACGAAAGCUGGGGGAGCAAACCGGAUUAGAUACCCGGGUAGUCCCAGCUGUAAACGAUGCGCGUUAGGCGUAUCGGUGACCACGAGUCACCGAGGUGCCGAAGAGAAAUCGUGAAACAUGCCGCCUGGGAAGUACGGUCGCAAGGCUGAAACU